rnacentral:lncRNA from 11 species
CUGGUUCUGAUUCAUAUCAUUUCUAGUUCUUUCUUACAAAUGAUUGUCUGACUAAAAACAAAAAUAAUUUCUGUUGCUAGGCAUAGCUCUUGGCUGUUAAUUUAGUUAAUUAAUUUAGGGGAACCAGGGCAGGUAAUUAUAUGAAUGCAUCUACACUGUCAACUUACAGCUGUUUGACACCACUUCAGCUGCAUUGGAUCAAUGCUAUGGACUGAUGGGUUUUAAAUAUUUGUAAUGGUACAUAACUUUCCAUAAUAGCAGCUAUUGUUUUAUUAGCAAUUUUCUUCAGGAUUUUUUCCCCACAAAAAGAGAAUGGGGAUGGGGGAAGGACAGCAGGUGGGAACAAAUCUCAACUGUAUGAUGGCAAAUCAAAGGAGAACUCCUGAGCAAAAAGGAUAGAUUGAAAAGUGUGUAAUGAAGGGAAUACAUUUCUCCUGGAGACCCAAACCCAUGGAUAACAGUGAACACCAUGUUUUGUCUAUUCUUGGGCUAGAAGCGUAUCACAGAAUCACAGUGCAGCACCUUGAAAAAUCAAGAAACACUUCCAGGGGGAAAUAAUUUUUGGAGCACAGAUAAGUGAAACCAUGGAUAUUGAGUACAUGCAUAAG